UAGGGAAUCUUCGGCAAUGGGGGCAACCCUGACCGAGCAACGCCGCGUGAGUGAAGAAGGUUUUCGGAUCGUAAAGCUCUGUUGUAAGUCAAGAACGGGUGUGAGAGUGGAAAGUUCACACUGUGACGGUAGCUUACCAGAAAGGGACGGCUAACUACGUGCCAGCAGCCGCGGUAAUACGUAGGUCCCGAGCGUUGUCCGGAUUUAUUGGGCGUAAAGCGAGCGCAGGCGGUUUGAUAAGUCUGAAGUUAAAGGCUGUGGCUCAACCAUAGUUAGCUUUGGAACCUGACAAACUUGAGUGCAGAAGGGGAGAGUGGAAUUCCAUGUGUAGCGGUGAAAUGCGUAGAUAUAUGGAGGAACAACGGUGGCGAAAGCGGCUCUCUGGUCUGUAACUGACGCUGAGGCUCGAAAGCGUGGGGAGCGAACAGG
rnacentral:rRNA from 1 species